CCUACGGGCGGCUGCAGUGGGGAAUAUUGGACAAUGGGCGAAAGCCUGAUCCAGCCAUGCCGCGUGUGUGAAGAAGGCCUUCGGGUUGUAAAGCACUUUCAGUGGGGAAGAAAGCCUUGGGGCUAAUACCCUCGAGGAAGGACAUCACCCACAGAAGAAGCACCGGCUAACUCCGUGCCAGCAGCCGCGGUAAUACGGAGGGUGCGAGCGUUAAUCGGAAUUACUGGGCGUAAAGCGCGCGUAGGCGGUCUGAUAAGCCGGUUGUGAAAGCCCCGGGCUCAACCUGGGAACGGCAUCCGGAACUGUCAGGCUAGAGUGCAGGAGAGGAAGGUAGAAUUCCCGGUGUAGCGGUGAAAUGCGUAGAGAUCGGGAGGAAUACCAGUGGCGAAGGCGGCCUUCUGGACUGACACUGACGCUGAGGUGCGAAAGCGUGGGUAGCAAACAGGAUUAGAGACCCCAGUAGUC
rnacentral:rRNA from 1 species